rnacentral:rRNA from 1 species
ACUCCUACGGGAGGCAGCAGUAGGGAAUCUUCCACAAUGGGCGCAAGCCUGAUGGAGCAACGCCGCGUGAAUGAAGAAGGUCUUCGGAUCGUAAAAUUCUGUUGUUAGAGAAGAAUAUGAGUAAUAGUAACUGAUUAUUCACUGACGGUAUCUAACCAGCAAGUCACGGCUAACUCCGUGCCAGCAGCCGCGGUAAU